AAAGGACUGAGAACUUGGUUUCCUGAGUGCAUAUCUGCUUACUCUGGGGUUUCUGCCAAAGAAGAGAGUCUGCCAUCCCAGCGACGCGUUUACAAUGAUCAGACCUUGCUGGAGGGAAAUAUUCAUGAUUUGGAAAACUGCCUGAAUUUAUCCAGGAAGAAAGUUCAGAGAAUGGAAACGAAGGGGACUCCCCCUGGAGCAUUGCAGAGCACGUUACGUGUUCAUCUGGCAAGGUUCAAAAUCGAUAGUCUCUCCUGGGUAAGUAUUUUCUUUGCAACAACUCUACUUCUAUACCCUGGAGGACCAGGGUUUCAUGCUGGUUAUAAGAGUUAAACUUUCCCUAAGCUUUCAGGGAGAAAAAUAUACUCAAAGUGCUUUUGAUACUAAUUCCUGUAGCUGUACUAUAAACGUUGUAGGCAUUGAGACGAUUUGACAGUAUUUGGGUUCUCUCUGACAACCGACACCACAAAUACAUGAUUCUUUCUAUUGCUGAGGAGGGUUUCCAAGAUUUGAAUGUGACUUUUAGUGGGUAAAGAUUUCAAUGUUCAAAGAUGGAAAGCUGAAGCUAAACCAAUUUGUCCUCAGUUGGGAGGAGAAUGCACAACAGGCUCAAAAGCAAUUGUGUUUGCGAAGUUGUGAGGGACAAAGGGCCGCGGAAGUAGAGUGCAACAUCCUCUUUAAAGCAUAAUUAAGGAGCAAAGAGUAGUUCAGGGUGACAACAUGUGGCUAAGAACAAGCCCUCUGCAUGUGACAACGUUCUGUACGUUUAAUCAUGUAGGUUUCACUAAAAGCAGAACUCUUCCCAUCACCAAGCAAAAAACAAUUAUAAAACAAUUUUAUCCAUAUUAUUAAGGAUAAUUGUUAUGAAUGAUUAAAUCAAGCAAUGAUUUGGCAAGCCAGAGAUGUAUUCUAUUGCAAAAAGCGCAAAUAUCUUGACUAUAUGAGGCGGGAGGCCCUGAGAGAGACCCAGGUUUCUUAACCAAACGUAAUAUUAUUUUGGGGCCGACUCUUUCUUAGCAAUGUUUACCAAUCCUUUAUGCAGUGUCAUUUUCUAAUGUUAUUACAACCACCAUAGAUGAUAAAGAAGAUCAAAUGUGAAAACUGAUUUUUAAAAGAACAGCCAUUUGCUUUUGUGCUCAA
rnacentral:lncRNA from 1 species